CCCAUACAAGGGCGAGCACACUAAACCACCUCAGCAGCCGGAAGGCCCUCCGCACACAACGGAGCUCUGGGACCGAGGCUCAUCGGGAUAGAUCGAGCGGAGCGAGAUCAAGCCACAACUGGCGGAACAAAGCGACUCCGCCUCAAUCUGACCCCACUCUGAUAGGCAUAAAGCAGAGGAAGACUGGGCUUAAGCCACAAGCGGCACGGUGUAGGGCAAAGCGGAGGCCCUACACCGACACCCAACAUGGACGGCCUGCUUCUUGUACAUCUUGCAGCGCACAUGGGCCACAACUCCCC